GAUGAAGAACGUAGCGAAAUGCGAUAAGUAAUGUGAAUUGCAGAAUUCAGUGAAUCAUCGAAUCUUUGAACGCACAUUGCGCCCGCCAGUAUUCUGGCGGGCAUGCCUGUUCGAGCGUCAUUACAACCCUCAGGCCCCCGGGCCUGGCGUUGGGGAUCGGCGGAGCCCCCCGUGGGCACACGCCGUCCCCCAAAUGCAGUGGCGGUCCCGCCGCAGCUUCCAUAGCGUAGUAGCUAACACCUCGCGACUGGAGAGCGGCGCGGCCACGCCGUAAAACACCCAACUCUUCUGAAGUUGACCUCGAAUCAGGUAGGAAUACCCGCUGAACUUAAGCAUAUCAAUAAGCGGAGGA
rnacentral:misc_RNA from 1 species